UACGGGGGGGUGCGAGCGUUGUCCGGAAUCACUGGGCGUAAAGGGCUCGUAGGCGGUUUGUCGCGUCGGGAGUGAAAUCCACUGGCUUAACUGGUGGCUUGCUUUCGAUACGGGCAGACUGGAGGUAUGCAGGGGAGAACGGAAUUCCUGGUGUAGCGGUGAAAUGCGUAGAUAUCGUAAGGAAGACCAGUGGCGAAGGCGGGUCUCUGGACAGUUCCUGACGCUGAGGCACGAAGGUCAGGGGAGCAAACGGG
rnacentral:rRNA from 1 species